rnacentral:lncRNA from 1 species
ACAAAUGAAGAACCGGCAUAGCAGGAAGGAAUAUCAAACUCAUUAAUGGGAUUUGAGGGUCACCAAUUGAAAUACUGCUUAAAUCAGCUGGAGGAUGAAGAGGGCGAAUUAUAAGAUGCAAGAAGACAUGCUGACAAGAGUCCUAUCUUCAUGAAAAUGGAUGAUUCUGUAGGUUUCUGAACACAUGGACAUUCAUCUUAUAUUUUCCUGAGGCUAUUGGCAAGUGACUCUGGCUGAAAAGUUUAAAACAAAGAUGAAAAAUUUGGAGUCUAGUGAAAAGAAGUGACUUGCUCAAAAUCACACAGCACAUGAAGAACAGAGCCUCUAUGAUGAAUUUCUUGACAGCUGAUAUAAGUCUUUUGAGGUACAGCCUGGCACAAAAAGGAUGAGAUUUGUGGGCAGAAUUUUGGAAGAAUAUCUCCCGAGAGAACAUUCAGGACAGAGCCCUACAUCUCCCCGAGAAGAGGUGAAAGAGACUGCUCCUAUCUGCUUCUGCAUCAAACUUCAGGCUCAAGACCUGUCCAGAAAAAAAAAUGUCUUCUUUCAGGGAUGAACUGCUGUCCUCAUCAGACGCCUUAUUUUGUUUAGAAUUCAAGCUCACUUGACAGUGGGCUGGACUUCCAGAAGAAACGUUGUCAGAACUCUGCCCAACUGAAAACAA